rnacentral:rRNA from 1 species
CCUACGGGAGGCAGCAGUGGGGAAUUUUCCGCAAUGGGCGAAAGCCUGACGGAGCAACGCCGCGUGAGGGAUGAAGGCCUCUGGGCUGUAAACCUCUUUUAUCAAGGAAGAAGAUCUGACGGUACUUGAUGAAUAAGCCACGGCUAAUUCCGUGCCAGCAGCCGCGGUAAUACGGGAGUGGCAAGCGUUAUCCGGAAUUAUUGGGCGUAAAGCGUCCGCAGGCGGUCUUGUAAGUCUGUCGUUAAAGCGUGGAGCUCAACUCCAUUUCGGCGGUGGAAACUACAAGACUAGAGUGUGGUAGGGGCAGAGGGAAUUCCCGGUGUAGCGGUGAAAUGCGUAGAUAUCGGGAAGAACACCAGUGGCGAAGGCGCUCUGCUGGGCCAUAACUGACGCUCAUGGACGAAAGCUAGGGGAGCGAAAGGGAUUAGAUACCCCUGUAGUCCUAGCCGUAAACGAUGACACUAGGUGUCGGGGGAAUCGACCCCCUCGGUGCGUAGCUACGCGUUAAGUGUUCCGCCUGGGGAGUACGGCACGCAAGNGUGAACUACAAUAUAGUGACGUGNGACGCGCGACGACGCGACGACGGAGGAGAG